CAUGAAAAUAGAAGGUGCAACUACAGAAGCUUGUAUUGUUGCUUGCUCCGAUGCUUGUGAUCGGAUGGAAGGAGAUCCUACUGGAAAUUCUUCAUUGAAUUGAUGAUUUAUAUAUCUCUGCAACUCGCUGCAUUAAUCAUGGUGUUCUUGUUUGAAUCUUGUUUCAAUGGUUUUCUCCGUUGAUACGUGCUGUUGUAACUAUUAGCACUUUUUAUGUUGAAUAAAAAUAUUAUAUUUCUUUCAUCUGAUUCAGAUCUUUCUUUGACCUGAUCUAUAUCUUUCUGCAUUUUCACCAGACUUUGAUAUAUCAACAACGGCUUCCAUCAGAUUAAAGGUGGAAGAUUAAACAAAAAAGGAAGAAGAUUAAAUUAAAAUUCUCUCUUGGAC
rnacentral:lncRNA from 1 species